rnacentral:rRNA from 1 species
AGCGAACGCUGGCGGCAGGCUUAACACAUGCAAGUCGAGCGGGCAUCCUUGUGGUGUCAGCGGCAGACGGGUGAGUAACGCGUGGGAACGUGCCCUUCGGUUCGGAAUAACUCAGGGAAACUUGAGCUAAUACCGGAUACGUGCGAGAGCAGAAAGGUUUAUCUGCCGAAGGAUCGGCCCGCGUCUGAUUAGCUAGUUGGUGAGGUUAUGGCUCACCAAGGCGACGAUCAGUAGCUGGCCUGAGAGGAUGAUCAGCCACACUGGGACUGAGACACGGCCCAGACUCCUACGGGAAGCAGCAGUGGGGAAUAUUGGACAAUGGGGGCAACCCUGAUCCAGCCAUGCCGCGUGAGUGAUGACGGCCUUAGGGUUGUAAAGCUCUUUUCUCCGGGACGAUAAUGACGGUACCGGAGGAAUAAGCCCCGGCUAACUUCGUG